GUCCCAAGGGUUGGGCUGUUCGCCCAUUAAAGCGGUACGCGAGCUGGGUUUAGAACGUCGUGAGACAGUUCGGUCCCUAUCCGCUGCGCGCGCAGGAAAUUUGAGAGGAUCUGUCCCUAGUACGAGAGGACCGGGAUGGACGAACCUCUGGUGUGCCAGUUGUUCCGCCAGGAGCAUGGCUGGUUGGCUACGUUCGGAAUGGAUAACCGCUGAAAGCAUCUAAGCGGGAAGCCGGCCUCAAGAUGAGAUUUCCAUGGAGCUUGCUCCGAGAGGCCCCAUGUAGACCACAUGGUUGAUAGGCCGGAUGUGGAAGAGGGGACUAAAGACCCUUGAAGCUGACCGGUACUAAUAGGCCGAUAACUUGACUUA
rnacentral:rRNA from 1 species